rnacentral:rRNA from 1 species
GACGAACGCUGGCGGCGUGCUUAACACAUGCAAGUCGAACGGAAAGGCCCUGCUUUUGUGGGGUUCUCGAGUGGCGAACGGGUGAGUAACACGUGAGUAACCUGCCCUUGACUUUGGGAUAACUUCAGGAAACUGGGGCGAAUAUCGGAUAGGAGCUCUUGCUGCAUGGUGGGGGUUGGUGAGUUUCGGCCUUUGGGGAUGGUCUCGCGGCUUAUCAGCUUGUUGGUGGGGUAGGGGCUUACCAAGGUUUUGACGGGUAGGCCGCCUGAGAGGGUGACCGGCCACAAUGGUACUGCGAUACGGCCCAGUCUCCUAUGGGCGGCAGUAGUGGAGAAUAUUGCACAAUGGGCGGAAGCGUGAUGCAGCAACGCCGCGUGCGGGAUGACGGCUUUCGGGUGGUAAACCGCUUUCUCCUGAGACGAAGCGUGAGUGACGGUAAUGGGUAAAGAAGCACCGGCUAACUACGUG